GAUGAACGCUAGCGGCAGGCUUAACACAUGCAAGUCGAGGGGCAGCACGAGGUAGCAAUACUUUGAUGGCGACCGGCGCACGGGUGAGUAACGCGUAUGCAACUUACCUAUCAGAGGGGGAUAGCCCGGCGAAAGUCGGAUUAAUACCCCAUAAAACAGGGGUCCCGCAUGGGAAUAUUUGUUAAAGAUUCAUCGCUGAUAGAUAGGCAUGCGUUCCAUUAGGCAGUUGGCGGGGUAACGGCCCACCAAGCCGACGAUGGAUAGGGGGUUCUGAGAGGAAGGUCCCCCCACAUUGGUACUGAGACACGGACCAAACUCCUACGGGAGGCAGCAGGUGAGGAAUAUUGGUCAAUGGGCCGAGAGGCUGAACCAGCCAAGUCGCGUGAAGGAAGAAGGAUCUAUGGUUUGUAAACUUCUUUUAUAGGGGAAUAAAGUGGAGGACGUGUCCUUUUUUGUAUGUACCCUAUGAAUAAGCAUCGGCUAACUCCGUGCCAGCA
rnacentral:rRNA from 1 species